UAUCCAGAAUGCUAAGGGAAAUAAGUAUAGCACAAAAUAUGCCUCUCAAGUCUUAAACGGAUAAGGUGUUUGAAAAUUACCUUGCACUAGACAGGAAAAGGUUUAACCCUUUCACAGAAAAUUUUACAUCUGCAUUCGCAGAAACAGCAAGGGGCUUAACGCACAAAAUCUGACAAUUAUCUGGGCUUCCAAGACGCAAUGGCACAAAAGGUUUAACCCUUUCACAGAAAAUUUUACAUCUGCAUUCGCAGAAACAGCAAGGGGCUUAACGCACAAAAUCUGACAAUUAUCUGGGCUUCCAAGACGCAAUG
rnacentral:lncRNA from 1 species